rnacentral:rRNA from 1 species
GUGUAUAAGAGCCAGGGCUGAUACCGCCCAAGAGUUCAUAUCGACGGCGGUGUUUGGCACCUCGAUGUCGGCUCAUCACAUCCUGGGGCUGAAGUAGGUCCCAAGGGUAUGGCUGUUCGCCAUUUAAAGUGGUACGCGAGCUGGGUUUAGAACGUCGUGAGACAGUUCGGUCCCUAUCUGCCGUGGGCGCUGGAGAAUUGAGGGGGGCUGCUCCUAGUACGAGAGGACCGGAGUGGACGCAUCACUGGUGUUCGGGUUGUCAUGCCAAUGGCACUGCCCGGUAGCUAAAUGCGGAAGAGAUAAGUGCUGAAAGCAUCUAAGCACGAAACUUGCCCCGAGAUGAGUUCUCCCUGAGMCUUUAAGKCUCCUGAAGGAACGUUGAAGACGACGACGUUGAUAGGUCGGGUGUGUAAGCGCAGCGAUGCGUUGAGCUAACCGAUACUAAUGAACCGUGAGGCUUAACCUU